rnacentral:piRNA from 1 species
UGAAUGGUAGGCAAGAAAGAUCU